rnacentral:rRNA from 1 species
AUUGAACGCUGGCGGCAGGCCUAACACAUGCAAGUCGAGCGAGCGGCGGACGGGUGAGUAAUGUCUGGGAAACUGCCUGCUGGAGGGGGAUAACUACUGGAAACGGUAGCUAAUACCGCAUACCAUCAGAUGUGCCCAGAUGGGAUUAGCUAGUAGGUGGGGUAAUGGCUGACCUAGGCGACGAUCCCUAGCUGGUCUGAGAGGAUGACCAGCCAAACUGGAACUGGGAAACGGUCCAGACUCCUGCGGGAGGCAGCAGUGGGGAUGAGUGCACAAUGGGCGCAAGCCUGAUGCAGCCAUGCCGCGUGUGUGAAGAAGGCCUUCGGGUUGUAAAGCACUUUCAGCGGGGAGGCGUUACCCGCAGAAGAAGAACCGGCUAACUCCGUGCCAGCAGCCGCGGUAAUUC